rnacentral:rRNA from 1 species
AGAGUUUGAUCCUGGCUCAGAGUGAACGCUGGCGGUAGGCCUAACACAUGCAAGUCGAACGGCAGCAGAAGAGAGCUUGCUCUCUUUGCGGCGAGUGGCGGACGGGUGAGGAAUACAUCGGAAUCUACCCUGCCGUGGGGGAUACCCUCGGGAAACCGGGACUAAUACCGCAUACGACCUUCGGGUGAAAGUAGGGGAUCGCAAGACCUUACGCGAUUGGAUGAGCCGAUGUCGGAUUAGCUUGUUGGCGGGGUAAAAGCCCACCAAGGCGACGAUCCGUAGCUGGUCUGAGAGGAUGAUCAGCCACACUGGGACUGAGACACGGCCCAGACUCCUACGGGAGGCAGCAGUGGGGAAUAUUGGACAAUGGGCGCAAGCCUGAUCCAGCCAUACCGCGUGAGUGAAGAAGGCCUUCGGGUUGUAAAGCUCUUUUGUUGGGAAAGAAAUCCUGCCGGUUAAUACCCGGUAGGGAUGACGGUACCCAAAGAAUAAGCACCGGCUAACUUCGUGCCAGCAGCCGCGGUAAUACGAAGGGUGCAAGCGUUACUCGGAAUUACUGGGCGUAAAGCGUGCGUAGGUGGUUUGUUAAGUCUGAUGUGAAAGCCCCGGGCUCAACCUGGGAAUUGCAUUGGAUACUGGCAGGCUGGAGUGCGGUAGAGGGUAGUGGAAUUCCCGGUGUAGCAGUGAAAUGCGUAGAGAUCGGGAGGAACAUCUGUGGCGAAGGCGACUGCCUGGACCAGCACUGACACUGAGGCACGA